CUCCUGUGGAUUAAAGGUGGGGUUUUCAGAAAUUGAGGGAUAUUCAACCGAUACUUGCCUUCUCAGUGCUGGCUGUGGUGGUUAAGGAUUUGGAUUUCCCUUAUGAUGGUUCUCAAUUGGUGGAUAUCUUGUUGCCAAUAUAUUUUUCAAUCUUGUUUGAUGAAUGUUUGGGUUGUUGGUCAAUGAGCAUUCA